UGAGGAUAGGUUGUGGUUUCUACCUGACUCAUUAACUUAUUUAAUAACUUUAUCAGGUAUACAUUUUAUCCAUUGCUAAAGACACAAUGCAAAGAUGCCAAGAUUGAGAACCUACAAGAGGGGCAUGUUGCUGAGAACCUGAAAGAGGGUCGUGCUGCUGAGACAGUGCAUAAGGAUGCUCCAACAGACCUCCCAAUGUGAAAUGAAAGUGUCAAGCCAUCUUUAAAAAGCAAAGGAGAGGACUGAGUGGCCCAGAUGGAAAGCAGAAAUGCAGACAGAGGCCUGUGGAAGAAGAAUCUUAAAAUAACUAAGCAACUCCAAGAAAACAAGUGAGGAUUUAUUGGAAACAACUGCCUUGAAAGAAGAAAAAAACACUCCAACUUGAAAAUUUGAGAAGAUAAUACAGAAAGCUCAUAUACUUCAAGCUAUGGGAUGAAUUGUGUUCAACAAAGAAGGAAAGAACCUUUCCUGGCUGAAGUCAGAGGCUGAGGUCAGAGGAAGACGUGACUAUAGAAGAAUGAUCAUAGGAUUGCAAUAUUGCUGGUCUUGAAGACAGAGGAAGGAUGUGGGUUACAUCUAGAAACUGGAAAAGGUGAGGACCACACGUGGAAAAGGGAGGCUGAGAAUGUAAGACAUCAGCAGAGUGUGGAUCUGAUAGCUGUGUUGGGACUAAUGGAAGAUAGAUGGUUUGAGAGGCACCCACACCCUUGGAGCCCAAAACCAUGCCAUGCACAUGUAACCAACCAGCUACAUGUGAAGAUCACAUAAAGGUGUUCUUGUCCUGGCUCUAGCUAAGGUUCCAGCUCUCAGUCAGCAUCAAUUGUGGAAGAUGGGAGUGCAUGAGCUUUUAGAUGAUUUCAGUCCCCUGCCUUUGACACCAAGUGGAACUGAGAUGAUCUUUCCACCGAGCCCUAGUCAAACUGCAGAUUCAUGAGCAAAAUAAACACCAUCAUUACUGAAGCAACAUGGCAUGUGGGGUGAUAUGUUGGGGAAGCCAUAGAUAAUCAGAGAAAGCUCCUUUUCUUUGUGAGCAAUAUUAUUUGCAUAGGAGAGAGACAAAGCUGCAUGGACUGGAAACUUCCAUGACCAAAAAAGAUGUCAUUUUCUAAGGGCUUGAGUGGGAGGUGGCCCUGACAGCAUCUGCAUGAGCCAGAGAUGCACUCACACUUUCAUUAUUGCUUGAGGGUGCCAAGAACUGUAGCAGUAAGAGCAGAAGCAGAAAUGAAGAACACGAAGGAUGCUAUGGAGUGAGAGAAAAGUCCAUGCUUGCAAGAAUCCAAAGACACCCUGUGAGGACGCCCCAAAAUACUCGAGGAAGUGUCCAGCAAGACCUCUUAGGGAGUUCCAGGUGGAUGGGAAAAGGGGACCAAAUGAGUUCAUCACCAGAAGCAGGCCUCAGAAGAGAAGAUGCUGCAGUAAGCCUAUCUCUGCUUCUCAGCUAGUUUUAGAAGUGGCAUUCUUACCAUCCUCAGAACAAUACUCAGAUAGGUAAGUGGAGGAAGCUGCCUACAGCAAGCAAGAGUUUUAGUUGACCUUACAGAAGAAGAGUACUGCUGGUCUCCCAUCCCUUCCCUGUUUGUCUAAGACUCUGAAAUUAAAGGCUGAUAGAGUGUGUUUCUUGUUGGAUGCACGGCGAAGUUCAUCAUGUUUAGCCUACCUGCCACUGGGCAACCUAAAACCAGGUAUCAGAAGAAAAUAAAUAAUAAUCCUGGCGGAGAAAAGUGAAGAGAGGAAACUAGUGAGAAAGUUGUGUGCACAGGUGUGCCUAUGUACUUGUGCAUGUGAAUACCAGUGGGUUGUUUGUUGCAGACAAAUGUCAGUUUAAUAGGCACAUGGCAGAAAUUCCUACCACAUGAGUUCUCUUUCAGUUUGCUAUGGAAGACACAAAAACCCGUGAGCCCAUCUUACUGGAAUGCAAACGCCCUGA
rnacentral:lncRNA from 1 species